rnacentral:lncRNA from 1 species
CCCUAACUCCCAGUUGUGUCAACACUGACCUAGGAUGUCUCUCAAAAAUACCCUGGCGUGUCUACACUGACCAGGGAUACCUCAGUUAUUCCCCAGGUGUAUCUUCCCUGACGUGGGAUGUCUUCCUUCUCCCCGGGCAUGUCUACUCAGACCUGGGAAACGUCUCUAAUUCCAAGAUGUCUCUGCUAUGAUCUUGGAUGGCUAACCUGGGAUGGCUCCCUGUAUCCCCAGAUGUGUGUAUUCCGACAUGAGAUGCUACACUAGUUCUCCAGGAGCAAUGACACAUGUGAAGCGAUUUCUCCAGGUCUCCAUUCCUUCUCUGAGGCUCUUAGAAUCCAGGCCCUGGGUCUGGUGCUAAUGUGCUCGCUGGCUGAGCUGUGCUCACCUGUCCAGCUGCCACUGAGUUCAAGGUCAGAUGUAGUGAAGAUGAUAAAGCAGCCCCACGAAGUCAUUCUAUGGACAGAUGGAAGGCGUGUGCACAGCACCUAAUAUUUCUGUUCUUACCGUGUGCCCAGGCAGCUUCUCUGGGCCUGACUUCAGGACAGUGCUUCUCCCGUCCCCACCUCCCUUUGCCAGAACCCAAAGCUGAAAACUCGGGUGGGAGGGUGGAUGGAAUGAUCUGCCCCCGUCCCACCUUCAAUCACGGGCUCCAAACGCGAAUAUAAACUUUGAAGGAACCUUCGCACAGAUGCCUAAACAACUCACCAGCCCCUAGAACGUUCCCAU